UUAGUCUUGCCGGUGGAUCACUCGGCUCGUAGGUCGAUGAAGAUCGCAGCCAAAUGCGAUAGUUUGUGCGAACUGCAGAUAUUCUAAGCACUGAACCGUCGAAUGCACAUUGCGCCUUGGGACCCUCAUCCCUUGGCACGCCUGGGUCAGGGUCGUUU
rnacentral:rRNA from 1 species